UUGAAGGGGACCUUUUUGCAGUGUAAUAACACUAUAAGAAGUAUUGUAUUCAUUGUGAUUAUUCAUAGUUACAUGUUGUUAGUACAGGAUGUAACUGGUGGCAAUUCAGUCUGUAAUUACAGAGAAAGUUUGUUCCUACACUACAUGACUGCUCAUCUUACAUCUCAUUCCAAAAUCAUGGGCAUUAAUAUGGAGUUGGUCCUCCAUUUCCCCCAUUUGCUGCCCCUCCCGCAGUUCGGCGUUGCAAUUCAUCCCAAAGGUGUUUGAUGGCGUUGAGGUCAGGGCUCUGUGCAAGCCAGUCAUGUUCUUCCACACCAAUCUCGACAAACCAUUUAUGUAUGGACCUCGGUUUGUGCACGGGGGCAUUGUCAUGCUGAAACUGGAAAGGGCCUUCCCCAAACUGUUGCCACAAAGUUGGAAGCGCAGAAUAGUCUAGAAUGUCAUUGUAUGCUGUAGCAUUAAGAUUUCCCUUCACUCCAAUUUGCAUUCCGCCUCAACAGAUCCACAGAUGAUGCAAUCUCUAUUGCACUCAACAUUGCCCUUUCCCACGUGGACAAAAGGACACCUAUGUGAGAAUGCUGUUCAUUGACUACAGCUCAGCGUUCAACACCAUAGUGCCCUCAAAGCUCAUCACUAAGCUAAGGACCCUGGGACUAAACGCCUCCCUCUGCAACUGGAUCCUGGACUUCCUGACCGGCCGCCCCCAGGUGGUAAGGAUAGGGAACAACACAUCAGGUGUCCACGCUGAUCCUCAACACGGGGGCCCCUCAGGGGAGCGUGCUCAGUCCCCGCCUGUACUCCCUGUUUACUCAUGACUGCAUGGCCAAACACGACUCCCAACAGCAUCAUCAAGUUUCCCGAUGACACGACAGUGGUAAGCCUGCAAUGUUUGACUGUCUCGCUCUCCUUGAGCAAAGGUCUACUCGUCUCGCACACAUGAUGACGCGCAAACACAGACGCACUAAAAUGCCAAUCCAAUCUUGGCUGAAAUUAAUUUCCCAGAAGGCCAACUGGGUGGCGCAGCGGUCUAAGGCACUGCAUCGCAGUGCUAGCUGCGCCACUAGAGAUUCUGGGUUCGAGUCCAGGAUCUGUCGCAGACGGCCUAGACAUGGAGCGGCGUACAAUUGGCCCAGCGUCGUCUGGGUUUGGCAGGCAGGAAUGUCCUUGUCCCAUCGCGCACUAGUGACUCCUGUGGCGGGCCACUGUGGCGACUGUGCAUGCUGACACAGUCGCCAGGUGUACGGUGUUUCCUCCAACACAUUAGUGCGACUGGCUUCCGGAUUAAGUGGGCAUUGUGUCAAGAAGCAGUGCAGCUUGGUUGGAUUGUGUUUCUGAGGACGAACGUUCUCGACCUUCGCCUCUCACGAGUUCGUACAGGAGUUGCAGCGAUGAGACAAGACUGUAACUACUCCUACUCCAACAUGAAAAAGGGGUCAAAAAUAUUUUAUACAUUUAAAAAAAUAAUAAUAAUAAUUUCCAAGACUUUUCCAAAACGUUUUGAAUUGUAUUAUUUCCCAAAAUACACCCUUUUAAAAUUCCAUGACUUUCCUGGAUUUUCAUGACUACGAACUCUGUAGUACGAGGUCACUUUUAGGCAGGUCUGAAGCUGAAAAAGAAAGACAAUUAUUGCCUAUUUUACACCUAUUUUCUUGAUUUAGGGAUGACAGGUAGCCUUGAGGUUAGAGCAUUGGGUCAGUAACCGAAAGGUUGCUGUUUCCAAUCCCGGAGCCACCUAAUGUCACGACUUCCACCCAAGGUGACUCCACUGCCUGUUCGGGCGGCGCUCGGCGUCGCCAGUCUACUAGCUGCCACCGAUCCUUUUUCCUUUUCUUUUGGAUUCCCACAAGGUCUCAUACUCCAGGAUGGGAAAUGCUUACAAGAAGCAAACAGAAGAAGACAGACGUUGUCGAUUUCCAUUGUUACUUGUAAUGUUAAAAAGAAGAUGAAAAAUACCAUCCUUUUUUCUCUGAAAUAGCUAGCGAGCUAACUCGGCUACUCACCAUACACAUUUGAGUCAUCACUAUUAAAAUUGUUAUUUUAUGUUAUUGAGUAGGUCUAUACCUUUGUUUAUUUUUAAUUAAUCAAAUUAUUAAAACAACAAUAGACAUUCUUAUUAUUUUGUAAGAAAUGCAAGCAAUUUUUUACACGUUGCAAUAAAGUUAACUAAAGUAGAA